UUGGUGGAGCUCCCACCUAGAUCCGCCCCGAACGAGAAUAUAAGUGGGAAUAAAAAAUAUAGAAAAAUAUAAUUCGUCCUGAAUCAAUUUCCAUCCACCAAGUAAAUGGAGUGGAAGGUAGGAGACCUUUCUUUUCUUUGCUUCGCUCAAAAUUUGCUCAAAAUUUACCAAAAUUUGCUUUUAUUCCGAUCCACUCUGAAUGGAGCAGUAAGUGGGGGGCCAAAAAUGAAAUUAAAAUUAACCCGCCCCGAUCCGUUCCGACUCGAUUAAAAAAAAAAGAAUGGAAGGCGGAGAACUC
rnacentral:lncRNA from 1 species